rnacentral:lncRNA from 1 species
GUAUGAAAUUCGGCUUCUCAAAAAGAUUGGAAGGCUUCACAAACUUAUUUGCCAGACCCCCCCAAACGACCUCCCUCACAUUAUCAGACCUGUUUUAAGAAAAGGGAAAGUAAUACGUUAACCUAAUUUUGAAUACAUCAAAAAUUUACAAAUAAUAGGUAUAGACAACAUCAAUGUUCCAUUUACGUUUCAUCUUGGACCCAAAUUUCACGAAUUAUCUUGUUUCCCUUGACUUUCUUUAUGUCCGAAGAAUCUAUGAAAAUUCCAACGAUAUCUGGAGCAAAAAAUGAAAGUGGUUAACAAUUAUCUAUGCUUUAAAGGUAAAUCAAUGAGUCUACACUACAUAGUAUACUACAUACCAUUUAAGAAGACCUUGUCCUUCUUUUUCAGCAAAGUGUAUUUAGCUUUCCAUGUAUGCGACUUCCCAUGUAUGCGACUUCCCUGUAUUGUGUAGUCAUGUUUUUAUAACAAGAACUUAGAAAUUAAAGAAAAAGAAAAAAUUUAUAUUCAUUUCAAGGGGAGAAAAUAUACCUGUUUGUCUACGAAGAUGUAAUCUAAACCUUAGGGCCCUCCUGUUUUUUUUAUAUAUUCCUUCCCAAAAUUUGAAGACCCUAACCUUUAUCGUCCAUGGACAAUACAAAUUUUUGAGAUCAGUGAUGAGAGACAACUUUUUGCUUGCCAUUCCUGGUGACGUUUUGAGGUUAGUAAUAUAAUAAGAAUAAGAGAAUGAAGAAUAUACGAUCUACUUUAAAAAUGAAAAGAAAGGAAGAAGUGAGUCUACCAAUUAUAUACCAUAAAGAAGUGUGUGAAAACUCAUUCACCAUUUGGAUUAGAUAUGACUAAGGAGGGGAUAGGUGUAGUCUACCGUUUAUGUAGCUGCUGGUAUGCAAUCUCCAGAUUUUAGUACAACAGACAGUAGCUGUUGUAUGGAUAGGGACAUGGGCAAGAUGGAAGAGACAACACCAUACAGGUCUUCUACUCUGAAAUUGUAGGUUUUUUGGUAUUGUCUUGUCUUUGGUUGGCUUACCGGAUGGUGCUAUUUGCACGCUGGUCAGGAUGUAUUCGGUUAUUGAUAUCAAUAAUAAUUCUACACUUUGCCAAAAAAAAAAAUAUAGCAUAUAAAAUUAUAGAUUAAAAUAUAAACCAAAUAAAACCAAAUCGAAAUGAAUUGAACAAAAAAUGACAAAUACCAUGGACUUAUGUAAAUUUUUUUGAAUCGAUUAGAAAUACUGAGAUUUGUUCUUUAUCUGAUCUCGACAAAGUGGGCAAAUUAAGAUUUCCUUCAUCAAUUCCGACAAAGUGGGCAAAUUAACAUUUCCUUCACCAAUUCAAGUCGUAACAGAGAAAAAUUGGAGGAACCACAUGAAGGUACAACGAAAAUUCUGAUAUAGGAAAUUAUAACAGUUAGUUAAUUAUCCUAGUCCUUUGGUAUAAGAUAGCAGAUUGAGUCAUUAAGCUCCUAAAACACUCUGUUAUAAUGCAUGAGAUGUUUAUAGUUUUUCGACAAAUUCAUCAAACGGGUGGAUCAAAUGCAAAGCAGACCAAUCGUAACAGUAUCACACUAAGUUGAGGGGACCGCUUACCCCUUUAGAUUAUGUGUAUGAUGCGGGGAGAUGCUGCAGCUGCCGGUUUUCAUACUCUUUAUAUCUAGCCAACUGGGAGUUGUUGCACCUGCCGGUUUUCAUAUUCUAUAUUUAGCUAAUAAUGUCUUUGUUUGCAGGGCAGUAAUGGGACCAUGGGGUAUGUCUCUGAGAUGUAAGAAUGGAGGAUGUCCCCAUGGGAUGGUUGAACUGACGCUACAUUAGGUACACAUAUAGUUACAUAAUCGGAUGAAAUUACCUUUUUUGUCUGGUUUUUUUUUUUGGAUGAUAUUUAUUAAACUUCUAUUUAGACAUUUCGUUCCGAAAAUCCUUUUUCUCCCUUCUUCUUUCCAACUCUUUCCUCUGUCUUCUGCACACAUCCAUCUCUUCCCCUUUAUUUUCACACUUACUGUUUUUAGUCUACACUGUUCAGGCUAUUAGACUCCUUUACAAUGCUAAUAUGAUCCUAGCUUUCAUUAAUCUAUCUUAUUUUUUUAUUUAUUUUUUUUUAUUUUUGUUUAAAAAAAUAUAAAGCUCCCAACACCACCAGAAACCAUAAUGAGAAUUGUCAAGGAUUUAUGCAUGCUUAAUCCCAGAGACGAAUCAUGCAAAGAUGGACAGAACCAAAGAGUUUGAUAGACUACUUGAAUAAGAGUAUCGAAAUGUUAAUAACGGAGACAAAUCAUGCAAAGAUGGAUGGAACCAAAGAGUAUGAUAGACUAAUUACCAUCAAUAACAGUAUAACACUCAAUCUAAAAAUUCUGGGGAAAAAAAAAACAUUGAAUAAUAAGAAAGUGUAAUAAGUAUUGGCAUAUAACCUUGAUACUACCCCAAAAAGACGGAAGCAAUAAACUUCGAUGAAAGUGUAAUAAGUAUUGGCCUAUAACCUUGAUACUACCCCAAAAAGACGGAAGCAAUAAGUGUAAUAAGUAUUGGCCUAUAGUGAAUUUGAAUUUGUGUAACGAUAAAAGAUGCAACCAUGUCCAUGAAAUUUUUUGUUAUGAUAUGUCCAUGAAUUUCUAUGAGUCAAACAAACACACCUGGACAGACUUAUCGAACACACAAUUUGUUGUUCAUCUUCUCUGUUGGCGACCGAGUUCACGAAAUCAAACAAAUGUUCCUUAACAACUACCCUUUGGCCAUUGGAUUGCAGUCUGCUGAACAUAUCGAAAAUAUAUCAUUAGAAUUUCAGUUAAAUAUUCUUUGAUUGAUAACAUACUAUUUGUACAGUUGGACUGGGGAGUAAGAAUCUAACCUGAGUUUGACAGUAUAAUGCAAAAGUUGAGAGCAGAAUAAAAUCUAAUCGAGUGUAGUGAAUAUCCAAUCACUCUUGAGCUAAUGGACAUUUCGAGUCGAGAAUAGGUAUAAUAUCAAGUGUAACUAUUAGUGCGGAACUCCAUAUUCAACAUACAAAGACCU